UACGUAGGGGGCGAGAGUUGUCCGGAUUUACUGGGUGUAAAGGGUGCUCAGGUGGAUUUGUAAGUCAGAGGUGAAAUCCCAAAGCUUAACUUUGGAGCUGCCUUUGAUACUGCAAGUCUGGAGUUUGGAAGAGGGUAAUGGAAUAUCUGGUGUAGCAGUGAAAUGCGUAGAUAUCAGAUAGAACACCAAUGGCGAAGGCAGUUGCCUGGUCCAAAACUGACACUAAAGCACGAAAGUGUCGGGAGCAAACAGG
rnacentral:rRNA from 1 species